GACGAACGCUGGCGGCGUGCCUAAUACAUGCAAGUAGAACGCACAGUUUAUACCGUAGCUUGCUACACCAUAGACUGUGAGUUGCGAACGGGUGAGUAACGCUUAGGUAACCUGCCUGGUAGCGGGGGAUAACUAUUGGAAACGAUAGCUAAUACCGCAUAAUAUUAAUUAUUGCAUGAUAAUUAAUUGAAAGGUGCAAUUGCACCACUACCAGAUGGACCUGCUUUGUAUUAGCUAGUAGGUGAGGUAACGGCUCACCUAGGCGACGAUACAUAGCCGACCUGAGAGGGUGAUCGGCCACACUGGGACUGAGACACGGCCCAGACUCCUACGGGAGGCAGCAGUAGGGAAUCUUCGGCAAUGGACGAAAGUCUGACCGAGCAACGCCGCGUGAGUGAAGAAGGUUUUCGGAUCGUAAAGCUCUGUUGUAAGAGAAGAACGGGUGUGAGAGUGGAAAGUUCACACUGUGACGGUAUCUUACCAGAAAGGGACGGCUAACUACGUG
rnacentral:rRNA from 1 species